rnacentral:rRNA from 1 species
GGCGAACGUUAGCGGCGGGCCUAACACAUGCAAGUCGAACGAGAAUGUAGGCUUCGGUCUACUAGUAAAGUGGCGGACGGGUGCGUAACACGUGGGUAAUCUACCUUCCGGCGGGGGACAACAGUCCGAAAGGAUUGCUAAUACCGCGUACGUCAGCGGCGCCUACGGGCGCUGUUGGGAAAGAUGGCCUCUCCUUGGAAGCUGUCACCGGAAGAUGAGCCCGCGUCCCAUCAGCUAGUUGGUGAGGUAAUGGCUCACCAAGGCUAAGACGGGUAGCGGGUCUGAGAGGAUGAUCAGCCACACUGGGACGGCGACACGGCCCAGACUCCGACGGGAGGCAGCAGUGGGGAAUAUUGGGCAAUGGGCGAAAGCCUGACCCAGCCACGCCGCGUGAGUGAUGAAGGCCUUCGGGUCGUAAAGCUCUGUGGGGAGGGACGAACAAAUCUGGGGCUAAUCACCCGGGUCCUGACGGUACCUCCUUAGCAAGCACCGGCUAACCCUGUGCCAGCCGCCGCGGUAACAC